AGCGAACGCUGGCGGCAGGCUUAACACAUGCAAGUCGAGCGGGCAUAGCAAUAUGUCAGCGACAGACGGGUGAGUAACGCGUGGGAACGUACCUUUUGGUUCGGAACAACACAGGGAAACUUGUGCUAAUACCGGAUAAGCCCUUACGGGGAAAGAUUUAUCGCCGAAAGAUCGGCCCGCGUCUGAUUAGCUAGUUGGUGAGGUAAUGGCUCACCAAGGCGACGAUCAGUAGCUGGUCUGAGAGGAUGAUCAGCCACAUUGGGACUGAGACACGGCCCAAACUCCUACGGGAGGCAGCAGUGGGGAAUAUUGGACAAUGGGCGCAAGCCUGAUCCAGCCAUGCCGCGUGAGUGAUGAAGGCCCUAGGGUUGUAAAGCUCUUUUGUGCGGGAAGAUAAUGACGGUACCGCAAGAAUAAGCCCCGGCUAACUUCGUGCCAGCCGCCGCCGUAG
rnacentral:rRNA from 1 species